rnacentral:rRNA from 1 species
UACAGAGGGUGCGAGCGUUAAUCGGAAUUACUGGGCGUAAAGCGUGCGCAGGCGGUUUGCUAAGACAGGUGUGAAAUCCCCGGGCUUAACCUGGGAACUGCGCUUGUUACUGGCAGGCUUGAGUGUGGCAGAGGGGGGUGGAAUUCCACGUGUAGCAGUGAAAUGCGUAGAUAUUGGGAAGAACACCUGAGGCGAAGGCGGGAUGCUGGGCCGACACUGACGCUGAGGAGCGAAAGCGUGGGGAGCAAACAGG